rnacentral:rRNA from 1 species
GCGGAGGAAAAGAAACCAACAGGGAUUGCCUCAGUAACGGCGAGUGAAGCGGCAAAAGCUCAAAUUUUAAAGCUGGCAUCUUCGGUGUCCGCGUUGUAAUUUUGUGAGGCAUCUCCGGGUAGGGCGCCGGCCUAAGUUCCUUGGAACAGGACGUCACAGAGGGUGAGAAUCCCGUGCUUGGCUGGCUGUCCCCGUCCAUGUGAGGUGUCUUCGACGAGUCGAGUUGUUUGGGAAUGCAGCUCAAAAUGGGUGGUAAAUUUCAUCUAAAGCUAAAUAUUGGUGGGAGACCGAUAGCGCACAAGUAGAGUGAUCGAAAGAUGAAAAGCACUUUGAAAAUAGAGUUAAAAAGUACGUGAAAUUGUUGAAAGGGAAGCGCUUGAGACCAGACUUCGGUAGGGGGUGAUCAGCCGUCCUUCUGGGCGGUGCACUUGCCCCCCUCCGGGCCAGCAUCGGUUGAGGCGGCGGGAUAAAGGUCCCGGGAAUGUGGCUCCUUCACGGGAGUGUUAUAGCCCGGGUGAAUGCCGCCAGUCUCGACCGAGGACCGCACCCGCAAGGGUUAGGAUGCUUGGCAUAAUGGUCUUCAGCGACCCGUCU